CAGCACCCGGGAAGUGCCUUUCACCGCCGCUGGGGCGGGAGCGCCGCUCCUUCACUGUGGCAGUUCCCCAUGGUCUUUAUCAGCAAGAUAAAUGGGAUGUGAUUACUGUUCUCUUUAAAUGAAACACUGGACUAAGUCCUUGUGGAAGAAGCUUCUGACCAAGGUUUUCUUGACAAUUUCUUACUUGACCGCCCCAAAGCCUCCUUUCCUGGCUGCAAUAUGAUAAAACCUCAGUCCACAAAACUGAGCCCUCCCCUGCAUGUCAUCUUCUCAGGAGAUCGGUUCACUCCAAACCCAAUGUGCUGUCUCCUUUGCAUGCUCAGCCUGCUUACUGAGGUGACAGUAACCCUUUCUACCGGCAUAAGUUGUUCAGAUAUCCAUUAUCACCUCUAAGCAUCGUUUCAGCUCUUCAUAUGAGAAGACAGAACUUGCCUCAACCUUGCAGUCUCUGCAUACCUUGUCAGGACCUCCACUCACGAGGUCUGGGAAGAAGGAAAGUGCGAAUAUAUUUUACAGAUUACUGCAAAAAGUGCCAAGUUUAAACUUGUACAUUCUAAAUAACCAGUGGUUUAGGGUUCUUCAGUGACUUACUGAUUGUCUUGGGCUUCAGGGGACUCUGAAAAUGUGCAGCUGAAAACUGAACCACCCAAAGUAUUGGCUGAUGAUGAUUUUUCCAGCCCCACUGCUGGCAUCAGCAGAACUGUGAUAAGACCCUAGGUGGCUUCCUGCGACUGACCAGUAAGUACCUACAAUGGAAGAAGGUGGAGGAGGUGAACAAGAGCCAUGUGCUUAUGAAGCUCAGGGACAACUGUAGGGUAUGACUGAGCAGAGCUGUGGUGCAGAAAGCUGACUUCAUCUCAACACAAAGUGGACCCAAGGGUGGCCUUUGUUUCAAACAAACAGCUGUACCAGUUGAGUGGAUCAGCUGACUGCAUCACAGAUGAGUGGAUCAGCUUGUGGUGCAAAUGUUUCUCCCUGAGUUCAUCAAAAGGGUGUGAACAUCUCCCCGAGUUAGCCAGACCAGCAUGGGGGAAGCGUAUUCAUGGCUCAGUCCAACACCAAGUAUAAAAACAGAAAAACUAACAAUAAUUUCAAAGAGAGCAAUGGGCUUGAGCAGGUUUCAACCCAUGUAUUCCUUCCUGGUGACUGGGGACACACAGUGUUGUGAUGGUGAGCAUAUUAUAGAUACUGGUGAUGGGGAUCACAUUCAUAUUGUGAUUGAACUGUAUAUUGCAACUGCUAUAUUUUGCAAAACAUAAUUUACAUUCAUAUUAUGAUUUUAGUAUAUCUAGUAUAUAUUAAUUAUGCAAAAGGUAAUUUGAUUUUCCUUGAGAAGGAAGGGUGGUUUGCUUUUUAUUUACCUAAGAAUGAGUACUAUGUUUUUUGCAAGUGUGAAAAACAAUGACUAAAGGUAGACAUCUAAAUAAAUAACAGUGGAUAUGUAUGUCUUCUCCUUUACUCUUUGCCUGUUUUGACCAUUUAGGAAAGUUAUCUCCUAGAACAAAGGCUAUUUUCACCGGGGGAAAUCAUCUUGUACACUUGUAAAAAUAAAUUAUGCUAAAAACAA